rnacentral:rRNA from 1 species
AGUGAACGCUGGCGGUAGGCCUAACACAUGCAAGUCGAACGGCAGCACAGUAAGAGCUUGCUCUUACGGGUGGCGAGUGGCGGACGGGUGAGGAAUACAUCGGAAUCUACUUUUUCGUGGGGGAUAACGUAGGGAAACUUACGCUAAUACCGCAUACGACCUACGGGUGAAAGCAGGGGAUCUUCGGACCUUGCGCGAUUGAAUGAGCCGAUGUCGGAUUAGCUAGUUGGCGGGGUAAAGGCCCACCAAGGCGACGAUCCGUAGCUGGUCUGAGAGGAUGAUCAGCCACACUGGAAAUGAGACACGGUCCAGACUCCUACGGGAGGCAGCAGUGGGGAAUAUUGGACAAUGGGCGCAAGCCUGAUCCAGCCAUGCCGCGUGGGUGAAGAAGGCCUUCGGGUUGUAAAGCCCUUUUGUUGGGAAAGAAAAGGAGUAGGUUAAUACCCCGGUGGUCUGACGGUACCCAAAGAAUAAGCACCGGCUAACUUCGUG